GCCAUGUGUAUGGCAAAUACUUGAGGUCAAGUCUGGGUAUGUGUGGCUGUUCUGAAAAAAAGCUGGUUCCAUGUCGAAGGGACUUUAGAUAAUGCAUCAGUAAAAUUUAUGUAACCAACCGAAUUCCGCACACUGCGAAUUCAUUUGAUACACGUAUACUUCCCCACAUGUACUUGAAGUAGGAAUUUCAAAAACAAACUGUGCAUUGUCGAUGCCUAGCCAAGCAUGCGCAGGUUAGGGCGUGGUGCAGCGCCAAAUUCAAUGCACAUGCUGUCGUGAGAGGAGUCACGUCGAGAUCUGUCUUCGUUUUUUGCGUUUCUUUAGUUUAUAGCCAUUGCUUUCCUCCUUGGUUGUUUGCUUGAAGUAAAAGCUAUUGCGGCAUUGAGUCCUGACAGGUGUCUGUGGCCGACAGCAAUUUAGGCGUGCGGGACUACAUUCUGGAGAAUCAUACUGUUGCUGCUGAUAAGAAGCUCAGAAUGCUGUAGAUCCUUCCGCUCACUAAUCUUCUGGCAGAUCCGUCAUCCUCUGACAAGGCUACCGGAAUCGCAGCGUGCUGUCUUCUGCUUCUGAAGUUCUGCAUCAGCUACGGACGGAGGUCAGCCGGGAGGAUCCUUUGUAGAGAACAGACGGCCACUGGUCAUCAACUGAGACCUGAGGAUUGGACAGCCUGGAGGCCUGUAUCCAAGCAAACUGGGAGCACUAUGCAGCUUCAUUUAUUUAUCGCUGUUGUAUAAAGUAAACCCAGUAUUGUUUUAAUUUGCACUGAUUGUACGAAUUCUUUUUCAAAACAUUGAGUGAUUACUUAUUGUUUGUUUUGGUUUAAAUAUGGCAUCAAAGGAAGAUGUAGACUCAUUGCGAGAUCGCUUAGAAAAACUAAGUCGAUAGUUAGAAUCAGUUUCCAGGUUGAAGAAAGAAAAGAGCUCUCCUGCGUUCCUAUCAAUGCCUUCCCAGAAAAAGAUCAAAUCAUUUACAGGCAAAGAACAAGAUAUUGCUUUGGAAGAUUGGCUCUGUGAUAUUCAUGCAUAUAUUGUCUCCAGGCCUCUUGCAGAUGAAGAUAAAGUGCACCUCAUGUUCUAGCAUUUAGAAGGUGUUGCUAGGGAGGAAGUUAAUCUCCGCCCUGAGACAGAUCGUAAUGCAGUUGAUAAAUUGGUUUUGAUUUUACAAAACGUUUUUGGAGUCAAAGCUGUAGGUGUUCAAUUGCAAGGGCAGUUUUUUGAAUGCAAGCAGAAGCAAACUCAGUCUCUGAGAGAUUUUUCUCACCAUUUGAUGGAGGUACUGAACACAGUUGUUAAAAAUGCGACCAUUUAGGCUCCUGUAAAGAUCGGUUACUAUUUGAUCAAUUUGCUGAGGGUGUUUCCGAAGUCAUCACUUGUGCACACUGUCAGCGGGCAAUCGACAUUUAUUCCAGCACAGUCAUGGGUCACUGUCCUAGCUACAAGAAGAAGAAUAACCGGAAGUCGAUUCUCAGUCGUAGAGCCUGUGAGAAACUCCGAGAAUCUUCGUCCUGGGGAAUGGUUCAGGCUACCGUAGUCGACUCUACUCGCCCUUCCUUCCCUGUGAGAAUGGUGAAUCUAUCUUCUGUAGGGGGUUGCUGUACCAGAACGUACUUCGAUUGGUAUCAUGAGUCCUGUUGAGUCGAUAACUGCAGGCAACAACCCAGAAGUGCAGUUCAAUAUGGUCUCUGUCGGAAAUCGUGGUUACUAUGUGUGAAGAGGAUUCUAUCAGUCCUAGUGGCAACCCAAUUCAAGUCGACUUGUCUGAAUUUGAUGGCUCCAAACACCAGCGAGCUUCGAUACAAUCUCUUCUUUACAAACAUUGUGAUGUUUUUGCAACAAGCCAGUUCUAUUUUGGGGAUACUUCCACAGUAACUCAUCGGAUCAUCACUAAGACCGUUAACCCAUUGUACUAUCAUUUCGACGUAUUCUCCCGAACCAAUUCGAGGAGGUAAAACAGCACAUCAGAGAUCUUCUUUAAGCCAACAUAAUUAAAGAAAGCUGUAGUCCAUAUGCAUCCCCAGUAGUGCUGGCUAGAAAGAAAGAUGGCUCUCUCUACGCAUGUGCGUGGAUUAUCGCCGACUCAACGCACAAACAAAACGAGAUGCUUUCCCACUUCCACGCAUCUUAGACUCACUUGACGCUCCCAGUGGCGCGAAAUUCUUCAGCACGCUUGACCUCGCCAGUGGUUAUCAAGUGAGAAUGCACGAGGGUGAUCGAGAGAAAACCGCCUUCAUGACUCCGUUAGGGCUUUACGAAUUCAAUCGUAUGCCCUUUGGAUUGUGCGGGGCUCCGGCGACAUUCCAACGACUAAUGCAGAGAUGUUUGGGCGACCUGUAUUUCCAGAUGUUAUUGGUGUAUUAAGACGAUACCGUCAUCUAUUCUACGUCUUUUGAACAGCACCUGGGGGCACUUGGACCUUGCUUUAACAAGAUUGAAGGCAAACAACUUGAAGUUAAAACCUUCAAAAUGUCACCUGUUUCGGCGACAAAUCCUAGACAUGUGCUAUCGGCCGAUGGCAUAGCAACAGAUGACAGUAAAACCAAGGCAGUAGCUGAAUGGCCAAUUCCGCGGACAUUGAAACAACGAAGAGUUUUCUUAGGUUUUGCGAGUUACUACAGGCGGUACGUGCCAUCAUUCGCAAAGGAUGCUCGAGACCUGUAUGCCUUGCUUGGGGAGUACCAAAAGAAAACGGCCAGCUACUCCCGCAGUCGGUGGAAUGAUAAAUGUCAAGACACAUUUGAGCAGCUAAAGAGUAAAUUUGUUUCUAUGCCAAUCCUAGGUUAAGCUAAUUUAAGCAAAGAGAUUGACGCAAGUCUUGACGGCUUGGGAGCUGUCAUAUCUCAACUGCAAGAUGGAAAACGUCGAGUGAUGGCAUAUGCCAGUCGUACUCUCCGUCCGAAUGAGCGCAACAUGCAGCGGUACAGUUCAAUGAAAUUGGAACUCCUUGCUCUUACUUGGGCCGUCACGGAAAAGUUCAAAGACUACCUCUAUGGGAGCCCCUUUGAGGUGUGGACGGACUUAGUCACCUACAGACAGCUCGUCUAGGUGCAACGGAACAGAGAUGGGUUGCGAAGCUUAAUACUUACGACGACUUCAAGCUAAUGUAUAUAUCAGGUCGAGAAAAUGCCAACGCAGAUGCACUCCCUCGACUAAUCCCAAGAAAAGCCGAACAAGAACCACUGAACGGGAAUAGUACUAUAGUUCAUGAGGAAUCUUCGUUCUAAUGUACCGGCAAAAGUGCAAGUUGUGGGUGUAGAAGAAAAUCUAGAAUUGACACCAGCAAGGAUUCACCUGACAAUAUCUUCUCAGAUAUCUGCUUUCCCCUCAUAUUCCAAAGAGGAACUUCGACUAUUACGGCAGAGAGAUCCAACCAUUCAGAGGUUUACGAAGUACUUUCGUGAGGAUAAAGAUCUUGCAAGGGUAGAAAAGAAGCUUGAAACCCAACCAGUGUUGGUCCUAUUUCCACAGAAGAAGAAAGUUAUCGAACAAGAUGGUGUAUUAUAUAGGGAGAUCAUCCAUAAUGGGGUCAAGGUCAAACAGCUUGUAUUACCAGCUUCGUUGAAGCCUACAGUGUUGUCAUCGCUCCAUGACCAUAGUGGUCAUCAAGGUGUUGAACGAACAUUUGCGAUGAUUCAUCAGAGGUGUUAUUGGCCAGUUGUGUUCAGGGAGGUCAAAGAAUGGAUACAGCGAUGUGAAAAGUGUGCAUUUGCCAAAAGCAAUAUUUUCCACCAUAACAGGCAAGUUCAACUGCCAAGAUGUGACACACCUGUGCAGACGUCUCGGACGUUUAUGUGUGUAUGAACAAAUGGGGGCUUAGCAGGUUUUUGUGUCAGCUGAGGAUGAGUCAAGGUGUGUUUGAAUCUGUCAGCUCACUCAGCUAUGACUCUAUGUGUGUAUACAGAGAGCCUGAGCACUGUUACACCGUUUGUGUGUCCACACUCCUCCUGUGUGAAGUGGUCAAGAAAAUAUUCCAUCAAGCAAUUGUGAGCAACCUUAGAUCUGGAAUCGUAGAUGUCUCUUUUUAAAAAGGAAAGGAAAGCUUGGUGUUUUCACUCCUCCAAACUAAAAGUCAUCUCGAUUUUUUGGGGGUCAUGAUUUGUUCUCUUUGUCUUUAUACAGACGUAUGACUCGACGAGAGGCAAGAGGAACAUGGAACAGAAUGACUGGCAACAUUGUCGCAAACAUCCUGUACGCACAUAACCCUCGGAUUUACAAGUUCUGCCACAGAAUAGUCGGGUUGGAAAUGUGGCGGCAGGGAGCAGAUAGGAGGAUAUUUGAUAAGUUUCAUCACCUCGGAGUCUGCUCUACAUAUCUUGCAGUGCAGGAGACUGUGGACAGGAUUCGGCCCUUGCACAAUGAGCACAUUCAUCAGUGGAAGAAAAUCACAAUGUAGCUGGAGCAGCACCAAGUAGACUGAGACAUGAAUUCAGCUGGGAAAGAGUUGCCAACCUGAGAGGUCUGCCAGGGAAAAACUUACCCUUGGAUCAAAUUAUUGGAUAUUUGGUCCAUGAUUGCAAAGGUACCGGGCGUCGCUACCUACCACAUCCCCGAGCGACCUUACCGAC